rnacentral:misc_RNA from 1 species
CGCCUCUAAAACCUCUGGAUAUGCUGCCGCUCCCCAUCCCUCCAAGUGGAACACCCUGAGAUGCUGAUGGUUUGCAGCGUUCUCGUGUAAAGGGAUCAAUUGGAGCUCUCCUUCCAUAGGACGCUUCUUCCCUUACAUAUGACCAUAACCGUAUACCAAGCCGAACCAUUUUUAUUGCCUCUGUGAAUGUGACACUAAAUUCUUUUAACUUGCUAGCACGGCUGUUUAGUUUCCUUCUCCAAGCUUGAGAUGGUGGUGCAGCACUAUCAAAAUCAAACAAUUGCAAAGUUGCUUUAGUUAUGUACUCCUCAGGUGGCCAUGAGUUCUUCCUAUAAUGAAACAAAGUACCACUCACCAUUUUAUUCCAACUCUAUAGACCUCUCACCACCCCCUUUAACCACUCAAAAUCCAAUCUUUCUCCAAUCAAAAGACCCUCAAAACCAUUAACCAAAUCCCCAUAUACACAAAACACCAAAAUCUCUCGUCUCUCUCUUCAACAGAACACCAAACAGUCCCU